AGCAGCCGCGGUAAUUCCAGCUCCAAUAGCGUAUAUUAAAGUUGUUGCAGUUAAAAAGCUCGUAGUUGAACUUCAGGCCUGUCCAGACGGUCCGCCUUAAUUGGUGUGUACUGUCCUUGGGUGGGUCCUACCUUCUGGCGAAGCGGCAUGGCCUUAAUUGGUUGUGUCGGGGAACCAGGACUCUUACUGUGAAAAAAUUAGAGUGUUCAAAGCAGGCAAAUAUGCUCGAAUACAUUAGCAUGGAAUAAUGGAAUAGGACGAUGGUUCUAUUUUGUUGGUUCUAGGACCGUUGUAAUGAUUAAUAGGGAUAGUUGGGGGCAUUAGUAUUCAAUUGUCAGAGGUGAAAUUCUUGGAUUUAUUGAAGACUAACUACUGCGAAAGCAUUUGCCAAGGAUGUUUUCAUUAAUCAAGAACGAAAGUUAGGGGAUCGAAGACGAUCAGAUACCGUCGUAGUCUUAACCAUAAACUAUGCCGACUAGGAAUCGGGCGAUGUUGACAAAAUGACUCGCUCGGCACCUCAUG
rnacentral:rRNA from 1 species